AAACUAUGCUGUGGACAUCCUUGCAAGAGAUCCUUGCAUCUCUCCCAUGUGUCAAACAAGAAUUCAAGCUCCAUCUGAAUAAACAAUGAUAUUUCAUUAUGAAGCUU